rnacentral:rRNA from 1 species
CCCUUAGAGUUUGAUCCUGGCUCAGAUUGAACGCUGGCGGCAUGCCUUACACAUGCAAGUCGAGCGGCAGCGCGGGGGCAACCCUGGCGGCGAGCGGCGAACGGGUGAGUAAUACAUCGGAACGUGUCCAGUAGUGGGGGAUAACCAGUCGAAAGAUUGGCUAAUACCGCAUACGAUCUACGGAUGAAAGCGGGGGACCGCAAGGCCUCGCGCUAUUGGAGCGGCCGAUGUCGGAUUAGCUUGUUGGCGGGGUAAAAGCCCACCAAGGCGACGAUCCGUAGCUGGUCUGAGAGGACGACCAGCCACACUGGAACUGAGACACGGUCCAGACUCCUACGGGAGGCAGCAGUUGGGAAUCUUGCACAAUGGGCGAAAGCCUGAUGCAGCGACGCCGCGUGGAGGACGAAGUCUUUCGGGAUGUAAACUCCUUUUGCCAGGAACGAUAAUGACGGUACCUGGUGAAUAAGCCCCGGCUAACUACGUGCCAGCAGCCGCGGUAAGACGUAGGGGGCGAGCGUUGUCCGGAUUUACUGGGCGUAAAGAGCGCGUAGGCGGCCUAUUAAGUCAGGUGUGAAAUCUCCAGGGCUCAACCCGGAAACUGCACUUGAUACUGGUAGGCUGGAGUGUCGGAGAGGUGAUUGGAAUUCCUGGUGUAGCGGUGACAUGCAUUGAUAUCAGGAGGAACACCCAUGGCGAAGGCAGAUCACUGGCCGACAACUGACGCUGAGGCGCGAAAGCGUGGGUAGCAAACAGAAUUAGAUACUCUGGUAGUCCACGCCCUAAACGAUGGAUACUAGACGUCAGGGGUAUCGACCCCCCUGGUGUCGCAGCUAACGCAUUAAGUAUCCCGCCUGGGGACUACGGCCGCAAGGUUGAAACUCAAAUGAAUUGACGGGACCCCGCACAAGCGGUGGAGCAUGUGGAUUAAUUCGAUACUAACCGAAGAACCUUACCCAGUCUUGACAUCGAUGGAAAGGCGCAGAAAUGUGCCCCUCUUCCCACAAGGAAGACCUGAAGACAGAUGUUGCAUGGCUGUCGUCAGCUCGUGCCGUGAGGUGUUUGGUUAAGUCCAGCAACGAGCGCAACCCUCAUUUUGUGUUACCAGCGAGUAAUGUCGGGGACUCACAAGAAACUGCCCGUGUAAGCGAGAGGAAGGUGAGGAUGACGUCAAGUCAGCAUGGCUCUUACGACUGGGGCUUCACACAUGCUACAAUGGGCGCAACAAAGGGCAGCAAUACCGCGAGGUGGAGCGAAUCCCAAAAAUACGCCCCCAGUUCAGAUUGCAGUCUGCAACUCGACUGCAUGAAGGCGGAAUCGCUAGUAACCGCAGGUCAGCUAUACUGCGGUGAAUACGUUCCCGGGGUUUGUACACACUGCCCGUCAAGUCACCUGAAUUGUCUGCACCCGAAGUCCGUGGCCUAACCGCAAGGAAGGAGCGGCCGAAGGUGUGGGGGGUAAGGGGGACUAAGUCGUAACAAGGUAACCAAGGG